UACGUAGGGUGCAAGCGUUAAUCGGAAUUACUGGGCGUAAAGCGUGCGCAGGCGGUUAUGUAAGACAGUUGUGAAAUCCCCGGGCUCAACCCUGGGAACUGCAUCUGUGACUGUAUAGCUAGAGUACGGUAGAGGGGGAUGGAAUUCCACGUGUAGCAGUGAAAUGCGUAGAGAUGUGGAGGAAUACCGAUGGCGAAGGCAGCCCCCUGGGAUAACACUGACGCUCAUGCACGAAAGCGUGGGGAGCAAACAGG
rnacentral:rRNA from 1 species